CCCUUAGAUGUUCUGGGCCGCACGCGCGCUACACUGAUUCAUGCAACAAGUUUUGUCCUUGGCUGAUAGGCCUGGGUAAUCUUUGAACGUGAAUCGUGAUGGGGAUAGAUGAUUGCAAUUAUUCAUCUUCAACGAGGAAUUCCUAGUAAACGCAAGUCAUCAGCUUGCAUUGAUUACGUCCCUGCCCUUUGUACACACCGCCCGUCGCACCUACCGAUUGAAUGGUCCGGUGAAAUCUUCGGAUCUGAGAGAUGUCUGAUUAAUUUCGGACGCCUUUUGGAAAAGUUACUUAAACCUUACCAUUUAGAGGAAGGUGAANUCGUANCA
rnacentral:rRNA from 1 species